GACGAACGCUGGCGGCGUGCUUAACACAUGCAAGUCGAGCGGAGCGGCGGACGGGUGAGUGACGCGUUAGUAACUGCCCCCCUCUCUGGGAUAACAGUUGGAAACGGGUGCUAAUACCGGAUAGUGGGGGAUGACUCGGGUCCUAUCAGCUUGUUGGUGGGGUAGUGGCCUGCCAAAGCGACGACGGGUAGCCGUCCUGGGAGGGGGACCGGCCACAUUGGGCGGCGGUAGGGCCCAAACGCCUACGGGGGGCAGUAGGGGGGAACAUUGCGCAAUGGUGGAACGUCUGAGGCAGCAGCGCCGCGUGCGUGAUGACCGCCUUCGGGGUGUAAACCGCUUUAAGCCAUGACGCGGUAGUGGCAGAAGAAGCACCGGCUAACUACGUGCCAGCAGCCGCGGUAAUUC
rnacentral:rRNA from 1 species